UACGUAGGGUGCAAGCGUUGCCCGGAUUUAUUGGGCGUAAAGGGCGCGCAGGCGGCUACGCACGUCCGUUGUGAAAUCGCUCGGCUCAACUGGGCGGGGUCGGCGGAUACGGCGUAGCUGGAGCAAGCUAGGGGGCAAUGGAAUUCCCGGUGUAGUGGUGGAAUGCGUAGAUAUCGGGAGGAACACCAGUGGCGAAGGCGGUUCUCUGGGCCUUACCUGACACUGAGGAGCGAAAGCGUGGGGAGCGAACAGG
rnacentral:rRNA from 1 species